rnacentral:rRNA from 1 species
UACGAAGGGGGCUAGCGUUGUUCGGAAUUACUGGGCGUAAAGCGCUCGUAGGCGGCCAUUUAAGUCAGGGGUGAAAUCCCAGAGCUCAACUCUGGAACUGCCUUUGAUACUGGGUGUCUAGAGUAUGGAAGAGGUGAGUGGAAUUCCGAGUGUAGAGGUGAAAUUCGUAGAUAUUCGGAGGAACACCAGUGGCGAAGGCAGCUCGCUGGGACGGUACUGACGCUGAGGCGCGAAAGCGUGGGGAGCAAACAGG